AUUGAACGCUGGCGGAAUGCUUUACACAUGCAAGUCGAACGGCAGCACGGACUUCGGUCUGGUGGCGAGUGGCGAACGGGUGAGUAAUGUAUCGGAACGUGCCCAGUCGUGGGGGAUAACGUAGUGAAAAUUACGCUAAUACCGCAUACGAUCUAUGGAUGAAAGCGGGGGAUCGCAAGACCUCGCGCGAUUGGAGCGGCCGAUAUCAGAUUAGGUAGUUGGUGGGGUAAAGGCCCACCAAGCCAACGAUCUGUAGCUGGUCUGAGAGGACGACCAGCCACACUGGAAAGGAGACAGGGUCCAGACUCCUAGGGGAGGCAGCGGUGGGAAAUUUUGGAAAAUGGGCGAAAGCCUGAUCCAGCCAUUCCGCGUGAAGGAUGAGGGCCCUCGGGUUGUAAACUGCUUUUGUACAGAACGAAAAGGUUUCUACUAAUACUAGGAGCUCAUGACGGUACUGUAAGAAUAAGCACCGGCUAACUACGUGCCAGCCGCCGCUGUAACAC
rnacentral:rRNA from 1 species